CUUCGUAGUUCACACCAGAAGGAGACAGCGUAGCAGAAGAAACUUGGAGGAGUGCCAAAACUACAAAAACCGGUUUCCAUAACAGAAAAGGUGGUUCCAUAAUGAAUUCUCCGUUGGGUAAAUUUUCAGGCCAUGUUGUGGCAUGUAUCAAGGAUGAGCAUAGUAAAAGAGAAGAGGAAUGAAUGGGAGAGAAAGCGAGAGUGUUGUGGGAAGUUGAAGUUGUGAGAUCCUAGAGAUCUGAGAGGGGCGAAUGUGAAUGGUGCUUGAGGCGUCUCCUAAGGGACUCCAAAACCAUAGCCUUGCUUCUUCUUUAGAUGAAGAUUGAGAAAAAAGAGAAGGAAAAGCGCGUUGGUUCAGUAAAAUAGAUUCAGCUCAACCCCUGCAGAAACAAACAAGAAAACAGAGACCGUAAGAAACAGCCAAGGACGGACCCAAAUACAGAUGUAAAAAGGCAGUUACAGCUUUUUUGAAAAAAAAA